rnacentral:rRNA from 1 species
CCUACGGGGGGCUGCAGUGGGGAAUCUUGCGCAAUGCUCGUAAGAGUGACGCAGCGACGCCGCGUGAAUGACGAAGGCCUUCGGGUCGUAAAGUUCUUUCGACAGGGAAGAAAAUGCCUAUAAGUAACUGUGUAUGUAUUGACGGUACCUGUAUAAGCAGCCCCGGCUAACUCCGUGCCAGCAGCCGCGGUAAUACGGAGGGGGCGAGCGUUGUUCGGAGUGACUGGGCGUAAAGAGCACGUAGGCGGUGUUGUAAGUCAUUAGUCAAAGACUAGAGCUCAACUUUAGUAAGGCUAGUGAUACUAUAAUACUAGAAUAUCAGAGAGGAUUGCAGAAUUCCUGGUGUAGCGGUGAAAUGCGUAGAUAUCAGGAGGAAUACCGUUAGCGAAGGCGGCAAUCUGGCUGGAAACUGACGCUGAGGUGCGAAAGCGUGGGUAGCAAACAGGAUUAGAUACCCCUGUAGUC